GGAUCCAGACUUUGAUCAUGGCUCAGGAUGAACGCUGGCGGCAUGCCUAAGACAUGCAAGUCGAACGAGGUGGCCCAAAGAAGAUUGAGUGCUUGCACAAGAUUGGACUUGGAUUACCACCUAGUGGCGGACGGGUGAGUAACACGUAGGUGACCUGCCUUUGAGUUUGGGAUAACUAUUAGAAAUGAUAGCUAAUACCGGAUUAAAUGCAGAUUCGUUUCUGUAUUAAAAGGAGCCUUUAAAGCUUCGCUUAAAGAUGGGCCUGCGGCGUAUUAGCUAGUUGGUGAGGUAAUGGCUUACCAAGGCGACGAUGCGUAGCCGAACUGAGAGGUUGAUCGGCCACAUUGGGACUGAGACACGGCCCAAACUCCUACGGGAGACAGCAGUUAGGAAUAUUCGUCAAUGGGGGAAACCCUGAACGAGCAAUGCCGCGUGAACGAUGAAGGCCCUAUGGGUUGUAAAGUUCUGUUGCAUGGGACGAACGGCUAGGAUAGGAAAUGAUCUUAGUGUGACGG
rnacentral:rRNA from 1 species